rnacentral:rRNA from 1 species
GGGUCGUUAGGUUGGUCGUGCCACCGGUACGUACUGGUCUCACUGAUUCCUCCUUCCUGAAGAACCGUAAUGCCAUUAAUUUGGUGUUGCGGGGAAACAGGACUGUUACUUUGAAAAAAUUAGAGUGUUUAAAGCAAGCUAACGCUUGAAUACAUUAGCAUGGAAUAAUGAAAUAGGACGAUCGAUCCUAUUUUGUUGGUUUCUAGGAUUGACGUA